rnacentral:misc_RNA from 1 species
AACACUGUUAACCUGCGGUACCUGCGGAAGGAUCAUUAACCGUUACAAACAGUGUGUGAUGCGGCCGCCGGGGUGAAUAGCCUCUGGUUGGUAUGGGGUUCGCCCCUUCACGCUCACGCGUCUGCCAUCCUUACUUUACGAGCACCUUCUGUUCUCCCUCGGCAAGGGCCUCGCCCUGCCGUUGGAACUACAAAACUCUUUUUUGCAUCUAGCAUUACCUGUUCCGACAAAAACAAUCGU